ensembl:lncRNA
AGAGAUAGAGAAAGAGAGAGAGAGACAGAGAGAUAAAGAGAGAGAGAGAGAGACAGAGAGACAAAGAUAGAGAGAGACAGAGAGAUAGAGAUAGAGAAAGAGAGAGAGACAAUGAGACAGAGAGAUAAAGAGAGAGAUAGAGAGACAGAUAGAGAGAGACAAAGACAGAGAAAUAAAGAGAGAGAGAGACAGAGAGAGACAGAGAGAGACAGAGAGAGAGACAGAGAGAGAGACAGUGCUCUUAAUAGAAAAAUAGCAUGAAUGAAUGAAUGAAUGAAUGAAUGAAUGAAUGGAUAAUAAAUAAUAAAUAAAUAAAUAAGGAUGAUCUGCAGGUUCACAGGGUUUAGUUUUAUUUCUGCAGUAAUAAGGGAUGAAUGAAUAAAUAUCGACACGUAUCACACCUGCUCUCUCUCUCUGCACAUCACUGGCUCGAGCCUCUGCUUUUUAUGUUUUGUCAUUAUUUUCCUAAUAAUUCAGCGGCCUGCCGUCCAUCACCCCUCACAUGUUUCUGGAGCGUCGAAGUGUUCUGUCGUUCCGUCGCGCGCUCAAGACCGGACGGGAACUAUUUCCCCGGGGCAUCUACUGAAACGUAAAUCGCGCGCCUCCGGACGUCCGCCGGCCGAUGGGGACGGGGAACUCGACGGCGCUGUGGUACGACCGGUUCCCGCGGUGACGCGGGGGGUCGUGGAUGACCUCUGGAGUGUUUCCGAACACUCGGCUGUACUCUCAACUACACUUCCAAAUAAUGAGACAUAAAAAAUACAAUAAAAAUAGCUUCCAUAUAGGGUUUUAUUUAUUAUACGUGUAUCAUAGUUAAACUUCUCUCAGAUUUUCACUGUCCCUAACCUCAUUUUUUCAUAAACGCUUCUUUUUAACAAUCCUUACCCUGGAGCCGAGUGUGUGUGUGUGUGUGUGUGUGUGUGUGUGUGUGUAUAUAUAUUAAAUCUGUCUCACCCAAACACAGACACACACCUUCCUACUCGGAGAGUGAUAUAUUAAAGCAUAGAGACUAUGGAAACUUCACAAACUUGAUUUAGAACAUCAUUAGUAAGAAUAGGACUAAAGUAUGAAAUGUGAAGUGUGUGUGUGUGUGUGUGUGUGUGUGUGUGUGUGUGUGUGUGUGUGUGUGUACUCCAGUUGCCAGGGUAGAGUCUUUUACUCAUGCAGUACUUCUCUGUCUGACAUACAGCAGCACCGUGGCCAGUGUGUACCUGUCUGUGUGUGUGUGUGUGUGUGUGUGUGUGUGUGUGUGUGUGUGUGUGUGUGUGUGUGU